rnacentral:rRNA from 1 species
GACGAACGCUGGCGGCGUGCCUAAUACAUGCAAGUCGAGCGAGUCUGCCUUGAAGAUCGGAGUGCUUGCACUCUGUGAAACAAGAUACAGGCUAGCGGCGGACGUGUGAGUAACACGUGGGUAACCUGCCCAAGAGAUCGGGAUAACACCUGGAAACAGAUGCUAAUACCGGAUAACAACAGAUGAUGCCUAUCAACUGUUUAAAAGAUGGUUCUGCUCUCCCUCUUGUAUGUACCUGCGUUGCAUUAGCUAGUUGGUAGGGUAACGGCCUACCAAGGCGAGGAUGCAUAGCCGAGUUGAGAGACUGAUCGGCCACAUUGGGACUGAGACACGGCCCAAACUCCUACGGGAGGCAGCAGUAGGGAAUCUUCCACAAUGGACGAAAGUCUGAUGGAGCAACGCCGCGUGAGUGAAGAAGGGUUUCGGAUCGUAAAGCUCUGUUGUUGGUGAAGAAGGACAGGGGUAGUAACUGAGCAUUGUUUGACGGUAAUCAAUUAGAAAGUCACGGCUAACUACGUG